rnacentral:rRNA from 1 species
AAAACGACUCUCGGCAACGGAUAUCUCGGCUCUCGCAUCGAUGAAGAACGUAGCGAAAUGCGAUACUUGGUGUGAAUUGCAGAAUCCCGUGAACCAUCGAGUCUUUGAACGCAAGUUGCGCCCGAAGCCGUCAGGCUGAGGGCACGUCUGCCUGGGCGUCACGC